rnacentral:rRNA from 1 species
ACAGCGGUAAUACGGAGGGUGCAAGCGUUAAUCGGAAUUACUGGGCGUAAAGCGCACGCAGGCGGUUUGUUAAGUCAGAUGUGAAAUCCCCGGGCUCAACCUGGGAACUGCAUCUGAUACUGGCAAGCUUGAGUCUCGUAGAGGGGGGUAGAAUUCCAGGUGUAGCGGUGAAAUGCGUAGAGAUCUGGAGGAAUACCGGUGGCGAAGGCGGCCCCCUGGACGAAGACUGACGCUCAGGUGCGAAAGCGUGGGGAGCAAACAGGAUUAGAUACCCUGGUAGUCCACGCCGUAAACGAUGUCGACUUGGAGGUUGUGCCCUUGAGGCGUGGCUUCCGGAGCUAACGCGUUAAGUCGACCGCCUGGGGAGUACGGCCGCAAGGUUAAAACUCAAAUGAAUUGACGGGGGCCCGCACAAGCGGUGGAGCAUGUGGUUUAAUUCGAUGCAACGCGAAGAACCUUACCUGGUCUUGACAUCCACAGAACUUUCCAGAGAUGGAUUGGUGCCUUCGGGAACUGUGAGACAGGUGCUGCAUGGCUGUCGUCAGCUCGUGUUGUGAAAUGUUGGGUUAAGUCCCGCAACGAGCGCAACCCUUAUCCUUUGUUGCCAGCGGUCCGGCCGGGAACUCAAAGGAGACUGCCAGUGAUAAACUGGAGGAAGGUGGGGA